CCCACUGUAGCUCUGUUGGUAGAGCAUGGCGCUUGCAACGCCAAGGUUGUGGGUUCGUUUCCCAUGGGGGA
rfam:Salmo salar isolate Sally breed double haploid chromosome ssa21, whole genome shotgun sequence.